ACAGGCAAACGGCUUGUCUGCCAUUUCAGAGGGAGCGUCAGUGAACAUCGGUCGCAGCUCUUCCUUCCCCCUCCAGUGGAACGGAGAGCAUCAGACACCUCUGCAGAGGCACGCGAGAAUACUAAAGGACUUGUCGGUGGGCGCGUGGCUAAAACGGUCAAGAACGAUAGGCUUACCGACACACACACACACACACACGCACACACGCGUGCGCGGAAGUGCACACGCUCUUUAGUCGCUUGCUUUCUGGACAAGAGCGAUCAAAUAAGACAAAAAGAUAGUCUCUUGGUUGGAUGUGAGCUGCACUGGCCGCCUUGUCGUGUCUAAGCUAUACACAGAGAGACCGUGCUGCUGGUGUCCGCUGUCGUUGUAGUCACCAGCGUCUGGGUGGCGAUUUGAUUGGCUCACAAGCGUUGAUUUCAGGGCUCAUCGCUGCUCCCCGCACACGUGUGCAUCUCUCUUUGCUUGCGUCGCUGACGCUUGCCUUUCUGCCAUCAUCUUCUCACGUCUCCCCUGAGUAGUGGAACAGUGCACGCGAGCGUUCACCUUCGCGGUGACGUUUUCCAUUGCUGUUUUAUUGUUUCUCUCCUUCGCGCUUUUCCCAGUGUAGCUGGGCGGACGCCGAGAUGAAGCGCUCACGCCAGGAUAAUCGCCGCCUCGGCCCUGCUGCGGCCGCCAUGCGCCGCCGUGACGUGUACCGAGACGGUCGUCAAGCGGAGGAGCAGGUGAGCAUUCAGAAGCUCUUCCGGGACGCUGUGGCGAUGCAAAAGUUUCACUCCCCGAACCAGUCUGGCGCCGGGGCCCGGGUGAUGAUUCACAGCCGAGAGGAACUUGCCUUGUAUCGCCAGAAGCGGCGCGCAGAGCUGGAGGAGAGUGUGCGGCGCGGGUUUAAGGCGAUCGGCAACUGGAUCCGCUACGCACGUUGGGAGGCGCAGCAGCGUGACUUUGACCGCAUGCGGGCCGUCAUGGAGCGCGCGGUUCCCGUGCACGGCGAGAAUGCAAACCUAUGGAGGGACUACGCGGAGCUGGAGGAGUCGAACGGGUUCGCAGAACAUGCUCGUCAAGUGUGGAGCCGCGGCGUGACGGCGCUGCCGUCGAGUGUGGACUUGUGGGUAAAGUACCUCGCCAUGGAGCAGGCGGCGGGCCAGGAUCAGCGGGUGCGAGAUGUUUUUCAUCGAUGGCUUGCCGGGGACGCGGUGCCGCCGUGCGCAUACGCGCUUGCCGCCCUCUACGAGGCGCAGCAGCGGCGCCAAGCAGGAUGCCGUGACAUUCUUCGUCGCUGCGUCGAACGCUUCAACACGCCGGCAAGCUGGCUGCUGUACGGAGCCACAGAACAGCAGGUUUUCGGCGAUCACGAGCGAGCCGUGAAGGUACUUGAAACAGCCAUGCGCGCACUUCCCGACGAGGACCUUUGGGGGCUGGAGGAGUGUCGCGUGCCGCUUGCGCUGGCGGAGGCGCACGUCGCCGCCGGGAGCGCCGUUCAGGCGCGCAAUGUCUUCCACAACGCACUCGAGCACGUUGCUGACCACCCACUGUUAUUAGAGAAGGUGCUGGCGUCCUACAGUCGCUUCGAGCGCCUGUACGGAGACGGUGAGCACUCUGAGCAGGUAGCGCGAUUGCGCACCAUUCAGUUGUACGAAGAGCGCCUCCGCAAGAAUACGAGUGACUUUGACGCCUAUCUGACGCUGUACUCGCUCUACCGCGACCAAGAGCGUGAAAGUCGACUGCGCGCAAGCGGCUCAAUCAACAAAAUGCCGGAAGCGGUGGUGGGCGGAAAUGCUGCACUGGCGUCGACAGCACUUGUCACCUCCCCGGCCGCUGCCGCCUCUCCGUCGCGGCAGGUGCUUGAGCGCGCGCUCCAGAUCCCUUCCCGCGACCCUUAUGGCGCCCAGCAACGUGCUGUUCUGGUCAUGGAGUACGCACGCGCCUGUGAGGAUGACGGCGAGCUGGAUGCGGCACGGCGCACCCUCGCGCAGGAAAUCAAGAAUUUUCCCUUUGAAGCGGCCCUAUGCCCGCGGCUGUGGGUGGAGGCGGCGGCGAUGGAGGAGCGCCACGGCGCUACCGCACAGGCGCGCCGGCUUCUCCGCGCCGGGUCGCAGGUUACAAAGGAUGUGCGCCUCUUUGAAGAGGCAAUCCAGUUUGGGGAGCGACAGCGGGACAAUGUAAUCGAGGCAAUGCACGCCGCAGCGCACGAGACCACGCCGCCGUCGGCGCAGGAGGUGGAGGAAGCAUGCGCGCCGUACGUGGCGGAGCUGCGCACAGAUUACCAGAACGCCAUCCAAGCCUUCCCGUUCGACGUGCAGUGGUGGCUCCGAUACGCGAAGCUGGAGGAGCAGCAGCAGGAGAUCCUCCGUGCCGACGCGCUGUACGGCGCCUGCAUCCGCACCUUCAAUGAUGAGGCUGAACGGGUUCGGUCCUUUGCGCAGCGCUACGACCUCCUUGGCCAUGUGGACGCUGCCUGGGCACACCGGAUUCAUCUUCACACGCGGCGCGCGCGUGCCCUGCAGCGACAGGCGUCGCGGCGCAAGGGGUGUGCCGCGGGCGCAGAGACGGCUCGGGUCGAGCUGGCGACGCUGCAGGAGGAGCUGCUGCACUUGUACGCCACUCUGCUGCAGGACGUCUGGAACGCUUACCGGCACGAGGCGGUGGCGUGGUUUUCGCGGUACUUUGAGGCAGGUGAAGGCAGCGGUUCUGGUGUGCUUGCUGGCGCCGCGCCAAAGACGUUGCCCUCAUCCCUCACUCCUGCUACGGCGCGCUGGUCGGAGGCCGUGGAGGCGGUGGCGGGGUAUAUGGAGCGAAUGAGUGCUAUCAAGAUAGGCCAGGGUGCAUCAGAGGGUGCCACAGCGGCUCUCCGUGAGAUGCUCAAGUCAAUGGUGGAGGCGGAGCGUCACGCUAUUCGCCGAUCCCUUGGCUGGACAGAGCAGACAACGCAGUUUGACGCCGUGCAGAGAGCACGCGAAUGGGGUGAGCUGCUGCUGUCGCCGCUACUCGAGGAGUGGAGCAAGUUUGAGCUCACCCAUGGUGGGUCACUGGAGGCUGUUGCGGCGGCGAUGGAGAAACCGGUGAAGCGCCGCACACGACUCUUCAAAGCGCGGCCGUAGUGAAAGCGUCAAGGCAAGAGAGAGAUGGCAGGGAGGGGAUGGGCUGCUGCAGGCUUAUUAAUGCCACAGUUUACUCUGAAGAGUCGCGUCUGCGCCGAUGGCUGAGUGUGUUGGCUUGUGCGCGUGUAGGUGUGCCGUGUUGUUUGGUGAAUCGGCUCGCAGCAAGUAGGCUAGCGUCGUUGUGUAGCUGCACCACCAUCAUGCGUGCUGGUGAGUAGGUCAGAGGUUUCUUAAAUACCGAAACGGAGACACACACACAAAAGAAGAAGUCUGGCAUCCCUUCAUCGUGCUGUUUUCGGUCGGGUGUUGAUCGACAGCCACCAUCGCCGCUCCCAUAGUUCCUUGACGCUUGUCGGUGGGUGGCCAUGCGAAGCGGCUCCUCUUCGCUUCACUGGUUCUUGUGUGGACUUGUUGGGCAACAGCCCACCAUCGCGUGGCAGGAGGCCAUUUGCUUCUUUCAUGGAGGCAAACGUCUCUGCGUCAGUGCCACUGUCAUCAGCGGAGGAGAGAGAGGGAAGCGGACGCAGGCGCCUGGGCUUAUGUGGGUCCACUACUUUACUGCUUCUCUCUCUCUCUUCCCUCACUGUCUCGUUGUGUGCGUGUGUGUUUGGGUGCGUAUGCGUCUCUCUCCAUUUCACUCCCGCGAACGCCAG
rnacentral:misc_RNA from 1 species